rnacentral:rRNA from 1 species
GGGUUGUGAGGUUAAGCGACUAAGCGUACACGGUGGAUGCCCUGGCAGUCAGAGGCGAUGAAGGACGUGCUAAUCUGCGAAAAGCGCCGGCGAGGUGAUAUGAACCUUUGACCCGGCGAUGUCCGAAUGGGGAAACCCAGUGUGUUCCGACACACUAUCGUUAACUGAAUACAUAGGUUAACGAGGCGAACCGGGGGAACUGAAACAUCUAAGUACCCCGAGGAAAAGAAAUCAACCGAGAUUCCCCCAGUAGCGGCGAGCGAACGGGGAGCAGCCCAGAGUCCGAAUCAGCUUGUGUGUUAGUGGAAGCGUCUGGAAAGUCGCACGGUACAGGGUGACAGUCCCGUACACGAAAACGCACAGGCUGUGAACUCGAAGAGUAGGGCGGGACACGUGGUAUCCUGUCUGAAUAUGGGGGGACCAUCCUCCAAGGCUAAAUACUCCUGACUGACCGAUAGUGAACCAGUACCGUGAGGGAAAGGCGAAAAGAACCCCGGCGAGGGGAGUGAAAAAGAACCUGAAACCGUGUACGUACAAGCAGUGGGAGCACCUUCGUGGUGUGACUGCGUACCUUUUGUAUAAUGGGUCAGCGACUUAUAUUCUGUAGCAAGGUUAACCGUAUAGGGGAGCCGAAGGGAAACCGAGUCUUAACUGGGCGUUAAGUUGCAGGGUAUAGACCCGAAACCCGGUGAUCUAGCCAUGGGCAGGUUGAAGGUUGGGUAACACUAACUGGAGGACCGAACCGACUAAUGUUGAAAAAUUAGCGGAUGACUUGUGGCUGGGGGUGAAAGGCCAAUCAAACCGGGAGAUAGCUGGUUCUCCCCGAAAGCUAUUUAGGUAGCGCCUCGUGAACUCAUCUUCGGGGGUAGAGCACUGUUUCGGCUAGGGGGCCAUCCCGGCUUACCAACCCGAUGCAAACUACGAAUACCGAAGAAUGUUAUCACGGGAGACACACGGCGGGUGCUAACGUCCGUCGUGAAGAGGGAAACAACCCAGACCGCCAGCUAAGGUCCCAAAGUCAUGGUUAAGUGGGAAACGAUGUGGGAAGGCACAGACAGCCAGGAUGUUGGCUUAGAAGCAGCCAUCAUUUAAAGAAAGCGUAAUAGCUCACUGGUCGAGUCGGCCUGCGCGGAAGAUGUAACGGGGCUAAACCAUGCACCGAAGCUGCGGCAGCGACGCUUAUGCGUUGUUGGGUAGGGGAGCGUUCUGUAAGCCGUUGAAGGUGUGCUGUGAGGCAUGCUGGAGGUAUCAGAAGUGCGAAUGCUGACAUAAGUAACGAUAAAGCGGGUGAAAAGCCCGCUCGCCGGAAGACCAAGGGUUCCUGUCCAACGUUAAUCGGGGCAGGGUGAGUCGACCCCUAAGGCGAGGCCGAAAGGCGUAGUCGAUGGGAAACAGGUUAAUAUUCCUGUACUUGGUGUUACUGCGAAGGGGGACGGAGAAGGCUAUGUUAGCCGGGCGACGGUUGUCCCGGUUUAAGCAUGUAGGCGGAGGUUCCAGGUAAAUCCGGUAUCUUAUAACGCUGAGGUGUGAUGACGAGGCACUACGGUGCUGAAGUAACAAAUGCCCUGCUUCCAGGAAAAGCCUCUAAGCAUCAGGUAACAUCAAAUCGUACCCCAAACCGACACAGGUGGUCAGGUAGAGAAUACCAAGGCGCUUGAGAGAACUCGGGUGAAGGAACUAGGCAAAAUGGUGCCGUAACUUCGGGAGAAGGCACGCUGAUAUGUAGGUGAAGCCCCUGCGGGUGGAGCUGAAAUCAGUCGAAGAUACCAGCUGGCUGCAACUGUUUAUUAAAAACACAGCACUGUGCAAACACGAAAGUGGACGUAUACGGUGUGACGCCUGCCCGGUGCCGGAAGGUUAAUUGAUGGGGUUAGCGGUAACGCGAAGCUCUUGAUCGAAGCCCCGGUAAACGGCGGCCGUAACUAUAACGGUCCUAAGGUAGCGAAAUUCCUUGUCGGGUAAGUUCCGACCUGCACGAAUGGCGUAAUGAUGGCCAGGCUGUCUCCACCCGAGACUCAGUGAAAUUGAACUCGCUGUGAAGAUGCAGUGUACCCGCGGCAAGACGGAAAGACCCCGUGAACCUUUACUAUAGCUUGACACUGAACACUGGUCCUUGAUGUGUAGGAUAGGUGGGAGGCUUUGAAGUGUGGACGCCAGUCUGCAUGGAGCCGUCCUUGAAAUACCACCCUUUAAUGGCUGGUGUUCUAACGUAGACCCGUGAUCCGGGUUGCGGACAGUGUCUGGUGGGUAGUUUGACUGGGGCGGUCUCCUCCCAAAGAGUAACGGAGGAGCACGAAGGUUAGCUAAUCCUGGUCGGACAUCAGGAGGUUAGUGCAAUGGCAUAAGCUAGCUUGACUGCGAGAGUGACGGCUCGAGCAGGUGCGAAAGCAGGUCAUAGUGAUCCGGUGGUUCUGAAUGGAAGGGCCAUCGCUCAACGGAUAAAAGGUACUCCGGGGAUAACAGGCUGAUACCGCCCAAGAGUUCAUAUCGACGGCGGUGUUUGGCACCUCGAUGUCGGCUCAUCACAUCCUGGGGCUGAAGUAGGUCCCAAGGGUAUGGCUGUUCGCCAUUUAAAGUGGUACGCGAGCUGGGUUUAGAACGUCGUGAGACAGUUCGGUCCCUAUCUGCCGUGGGCGCUGGAGAAUUGAGGGGGCUGCUCCUAGUACGAGAGGACCGGAGUGGACGCAUCACUGGUGUUCGGGUUGUCAUGCCAAUGGCACUGCCCGGUAGCUAAAUGCGGAAAAGAUAAGUGCUGAAAGCAUCUAAGCACGAAACUUGCCCCGAGAUGAGUUCUCCCUGAGACUUUAAGUCUCCUGAAGGAACGUUGAAGACGACGACGUUGAUAGGUCGGGUGUGUAAGCGCAGCGAUGCGUUGAGCUAACCGAUACUAAUGAACCGUGAGGCUUAACCUUACAACGCCGAAG